GGGUCAGUAGGUUGGUCGUGCCACCGGUACGUACUGGACUCACUGAUUCCUCCUUCCUGAAGAACCGUAAUGCCAUUAAUUUGGUGUUGCGGGGAAACAGGACUGUUACUUUGAAAAAAUUAGAGUGUUUAAAGCAAGCUAACGCUUGAAUACACUAGCAUGGAAUAAUGAAAUAGGACGAUCGAUCCUAUUUUGUUGGUUUCUAGGAUUGACGUA
rnacentral:rRNA from 1 species